UACAGAGGGUGCAAGCGUUAUUCGGAAUCACUGGGCGUAAAGAGUUCGUAGGCUGCUUGUUAAGUCGCAUGUGAAAGCCCUGGGCUCAAUCCAGGAAGUGCAUGCGAUACUGGCAAGCUAGAGUGCAGGAGAGGAAGGCGGAAUUCCAGGUGUAGAGGUGAAAUUCGUAGAUAUCUGGAGGAACAACAGAGGCGAAGGCGGCCUUCUGGACUGUCACUGACGCUGAGGAACGAAAGCGUGGGGAGCAAACAGG
rnacentral:rRNA from 1 species